rnacentral:rRNA from 1 species
AUUGAACGCUGGCGGCAGGCUUAACACAUGCAAGUCGAGCGGAGAUGAGGUGCUUGCACCUUAUCUUAGCGGCGGACGGGUGAGUAAUGCUUAGGAAUCUGCCUAUUAGUGGGGGACAGCAUUCCGAGAGGAAUGCUAAUACCGCAUACGUCCUACGGGAGAAAGCAGGGGAUCUUCGGACCUUGCGCUAAUAGAUGAGCCUAGGUCGGAUUAGCUAGUUGGUGGGGUAAAGGCCUACCAAGGCGACGAUCGGUAGCGGGUCUGAGAGGAUGAUCCGCCACACUGGGACUGAGACACGGCCCAGACUCCUACGGGAGGCAGCAGUGGGGAAUAUUGGACAAUGGGGGGAACCCUGAUCCAGCCAUGCCGCGUGUGUGAAGAAGGCCUUAUGGUUGUAAAGCACUUUAAGCGAGGAGGAGGCUACUGAGACUAAUACUCUUGGAUAGUGGACGUUACUCGCAGAAUAAGCACCGGCUAACUCUGUGCCAGCCGCCGCCGUAAGAC